AAGAUGAACGCUGGCGGCGUGCUUAACACAUGCAAGUCGAACGGUGAACUUGGGAGCUUGCUCUCGGGGGAUCAGUGGCGAACGGGUGAGUAACACGUGAGUAACCUGCCCUUGACUCUGGGAUAAGCACUGGAAACGGUGUCUAAUACCGGAUACGACCCUCGGAGGCAUCUCCGAGGGGGUGGAAAGAAUUUUGGUCAAGGAUGGACUCGCGGCCUAUCAGGUAGUUGGUGAGGUAAAGGCUCACCAAGCCUACGACGGGUAGCCGGCUGAGAGGGUGACCGGCCACACUGGGACUGAGACACGGCCAGACUCCGAACGGGAGCAGCGAGUGGGAACUAGUUGAC
rnacentral:rRNA from 1 species